CAGGCGUUGCGAAUAUAAAUGCAUAAGAAAAAAAAUUAUUGGUUUAGUCACUUGAGUAAUUAAACAAGCAAAAUCACGGUUCGCAAUUUAAUGAUAAAUAAUUUAAAGAACUACAUAUCCCAGGAGACAGUAAACGCGAUUGGAGAAUAUGGGGUGAGGGUGUCUUGUUUGGGGGGGGGCCACACACACACACACACACACACACACACACACACACACAAGGACUACACGCAGCAUUUUGAGAAUUACAUUGUUGCACAUUAUCCAAGGGCUUAGAGACGAUAGAAUAACGGACAGGAGGACAAAAUCCUGGUGCACAUCUGCAUCAACAUACUACGUGGACGCUGGAAACGACCACCGACAGAGAACUGAUGUGAAUAAUCAUAUGGAAGCUGAAUGCUGUUCAUUUAGUGCAACAUCCACAACAGUCUGCAGAAAUUUACAUUCCAGAGAGGAGGUGAAGUGGGUGUCUCUAUAUUCCAAAACUGCCCCGGCUUUAAGAAUGCAUCAUGAUGAAGUGUUAUGUGUCCUAAGAGGCACUGCAAGCCAGCUGUGAGGUUUCGUUGCCAAGGCAACUCAGACACCCACUCUACAGUGCUUGGCUCACCCUUGCUGAGCAGGCACAUUGGUCAAGACCCUCUAAAAGUGACCAAACAACAAGAGAGAGGAAAAGAAAGAGUAAACUAAGGUCAAUGGAUGUUUUUGUGCAUGAUACCUAUGUAUGGCUAAAGAAGGAAGAAAUGGAGAAUUUGGUGUUAGUGCAUCAUCUGAAUUUGUCCUAGAGAAUGUACAUGUGUUUGUAUGUGUAUGGAGUCAAGAAUAUUAUUAUUGUUUUGAGCACAACUGUGAGAGCAGUCAUGUUUAGAUGUGUUGACAAAAAAAAAAAAAUAAUAAUAAUGGUUACAUAUCUCAUAUGCAAUUUGUUUACUGUGAGUCUAGCAACUGUGUGCCGAUGGCUUUAUAAAUGAGAAGACUGUCAUUUUGAGAUAUUGGAAGGGGUAGGAGGAUGUGAUGCUUGGUGAGAAAAUGAAGAAUGAAUUGAAUAGACUGGGAGCAUUAUUCAGCUUUAAGAGGAUUUUGCCUUUCAUUUGAGAUUUUAUAGCCUAUAUAUGUGGUGUGCUGCCUUAGAUACUUUUUUUUAGACAGUGCUAUAGAGGUGCAUCACACUUAUAUGCUGGUCCUGAGACACUCAAACACACUCUCUUGCCAUUUUACAAAGGUGACAUACACAUAUUCACAGAGGCAUCAUAAAAUCAUUUAAACACAUUACAAUCAAUAUAAUUACAUUGAUUUUGAAGUAGCCUAUUAUGAAUAUAGAACAAUUAAUGAAAAUCCUCUGUUAGGUUAACUGAACAACUUUUCAAUAACCACAAAAAGGUUACAGGGUAGACUUUGCUAGAAUAUUUGUAAUUAGGUAACCACAGCAACAGCUGUCUUUAAUAUUGGCAAACCAUAAAUACUGUAUGUUUUUGUCUUCUUGUGAUGGGCUACAUUUACACAUUAGAAAUAUAUUACAUAAAGCUUUUGUAACAAGCUUUGUUCAAGCCACUCAACGAACCUCAACCGAUUGCAGUAAUAAGUGACAUAAUUUACUUUAAUAAGUCGGACGUCGUUGAAUAAUUUGCACACCAUAUCAUCCACUCACUAAGUCUUCCAAAUCCAAAUGACAACACAUUGGUUCUAGCAAACUUGGGAAUAAACUAAAAGAUCGAAAUCGAAAAGAUGAUGAG
ensembl:lncRNA